rnacentral:rRNA from 1 species
UACGUAGGGUGCAAGCGUUGUCCGGAAUUAUUGGGCGUAAAGAGCUCGUAGGCGGUCUGUCGCGUCGGCUGUGAAAUCCCGGAGCUCAACUCCGGGCCUGCAGUCGAUACGGGCAGACUGGAGUUCGGCAGGGGAGACUGGAAUUCCUGGUGUAGCGGUGAAAUGCGCAGAUAUCAGGAGGAACACCCGUGGCUAAGGCGGCUCUCUAGUACGGUACUGACGCUGAGACGCGAAAGCGUGGGGAGCGAACAGG